rnacentral:miRNA from 2 species
UGAGGUGGUAGGAUGUAGA